UACGUAGGGUGCAAGCGUUGUCCGGAAUUAUUGGGCGUAAAGAGCUCGUAGGCGGUUCGUCGCGUCGGCUGUGAAAUCCCGAGGCUCAACCUCGGGUCUGCAGUCGAUACGGGCGGACGUGGAGUUCGGCAGGGGAGACUGGAAUUCCUGGUGUAGCGGUGAAAUGCGCAGAUAUCAGGAGGAACACCGGUGGCGAAGGCGGGUCUCGUGGGCCGAUACUGACGCUGAGGAGCGAAAGCGUGGGGAGCGAACAGG
rnacentral:rRNA from 1 species